GCUAAUGUGGUGUAAUGGCUUGGAUGCUGGACUAGGACUCUGGAGGACAGAGUUCAAAUCCCUGCUCAGCC